ACGCUCGACACCUACGGGAGGCAGCAGUGGGGAAUAUUGCACAAUGGGGGAAACCCUGAUGCAGCGAUGCCGCGUGAAGGAAGAAGUAUCUCGGUAUGUAAACUUCUAUCAGCAGGGAAGAAAAUGACGGUACCUGACUAAGAAGCCCCGGCUAACUACGUACCAGCAGCCGCGGUAAUCUGAGCGGCUGGCAGGC
rnacentral:rRNA from 1 species